CUGAAGGAUGUAGUGUCUGAUUUGCUUAAGGCUCAGGAGAUUGGUUUGACCAGGCAUGUAACUCAUGUAGACCUGGAAAAAACCGGACCUCCCAUCCUAGCCAUGAUGUUCUGCACAUGUGGGAAUACGUGAGGGCAGCCAUGUUGCCAGGCACAUGUGAGGGCAAGGGCAAGAAGACAAGGGCAGGAACCGCCGUGUUUGGGUGGACCCAGUUUCUGAUGGCCUGUAUUUGCAUAUCAAAGCUUGCUGGCCAGCUCUAAGAGCUGGGACUUUCCUUCUGGAGGAGAAACACUUUUGGA